GCACCCAAGAAGAAAGGGAAGAAAGGGAAAACCAAAGGUGCCCCGAUUGUUGACGGGCUUGCUCCAGAGGACAUGAGCAAGGAGCAGGUGGAGGAGCACGUUGGCCGCAUCCGUGAGGAGCUGGACCGUGAGCGAGAGGAGCGCAACUACUUCCAGCUGGAGCGGGACAAGAUCCACACCUUCUGGGAGAUCACGCGGAGGCAGCUGGAGGAGAAGAAGGCCGAGCUGAGGAACAAAGACCGGGAGAUGGAGGAGGCUGAGGAGAGGCACCAGGUCGAGAUCAAGGUAUACAAGCAGAAGGUGAAACACCUGCUGUAUGAGCAUCAGAAUAACCUGACGGAGAUGAAGGCUGAGGGCACUGUGGUCAUGAAGCUGGCGCAGAAGGAGCACCGCACACAGGAGGGAGCACUGCGCAAGGACAUGCGGGCGCUGAAGGUGGAGCUCAAGGAGCAGGAGCUGGCCAACGAGGUGGUGGUGAAGAACCUGCGGCUGAAGCACACCGAGGAGAUCACCAAGAUGCGGAAUGACUUCGAGAGGCAGGUGCGAGAAAUUGAGGCCAAGUACGACAAAAAGAUGAAGAUGCUUAGGGACGAGCUUGACCUGCGGAGAAAGACCGAGAUCCAUGAGGUGGAGGAGAGGAAGAACGGCCAGAUCAACACGCUGAUGCGGCGGCAUGAGGAAGCCUUUACGGACAUCAAGAACUACUACAACGACAUCACCCUCAACAACCUGGCGCUCAUCAACUCCCUCAAGGAGCAGAUGGAAGACAUGCGCAAGAAGGAGGACCACUUGGAGAAGGAGAUGAUGGAGGUGUCCGUGCAGAACCGGCGCCUGGCAGACCCCCUCCAGAAGGCUCGCGACGACAUGAAUGAGAUGCAGAAGAAGCUGGGCAGCUACGAGAGGGACAAGCAGAUCCUGCUGCGCACAAAAGCACGUUUGAAGGUCGCGGAGAAGGAGCUGAAGGACUUACAGUGGGAACACGAGGUGCUCGAGCAGCGGUUUGUCAAGGUGCAGCAGGAGCGGGACGAGCUGUACAGGAAGUUCACAGCGGCCAUCCUGGAGGUGCAGCAGAAGGUGGGCUUCAAGAACCUGGUUCUGGAGCGGAAGAUGCAGGCGCUGAGUGCUGCUGUGGAGAAGAAGGAGGCCCAGUUCAAUGAGGUGCUGGCAGCCUCCAACCUGGACCCCGCGGCGCUGACCCUCGUGUCCCGCAAACUGGAGGACGUCCUAGAAUCAAAGAACAGCACCAUCAAGGACUUGCAGUAUGAGCUGGCCCGGGUCUGCAAGGUACCAGGAGCCCCUGCCCCCUCUCAGGGCCCCACCUUGUCUACACCUUGGAGGUACACGUAGCCUGAGGCUGUCUGGGCCUUCUCAGGUCACUCAGUGUGUGGCCUGGGCUGCAUCCCCACAACUCUAGCCACUGUCCUGGUGUCCCUUCCGGGGCCUGCUCAGUGGAUAUUUGGCCCACAACGACCUGCUGCGCACCUACGAGGCGAAGCUCCUGGCCUUUGGGAUCCCUCUGGACAACUUGGGCUUCAAGCCUCUGGAGACAGCUG